UAUCUCUGUAGAGUCUGCAUAUCAAUAAGCGGAGGAAAAGAAACUAACAAGGAUUCCCUUAGUAACGGCGAGUGAAGCGGGAAGAGCUCAAAUUUGAAAUCUUCAAGGUUUUACCUUGACGAAUUGUAGUUUAAAGAAGUGUUUUCUGUUGAAGUUUUGGUAAAAGUUCUUUGGAAUAGGACAUCAUAGAGGGUGAGAAUCCCGUAUUUGGUCAUUCCUCCUAGCGUUGUGAUACACUUUCAACGAGCCGGAUUGUUUGGGAAUGCAGUCCAAAAUGGGUGGUAAAUUUCAUCUAAAGCUAAAUAUUGGCGAGAGACCGAUAGCGAACAAGUACCGUGAGGGAAAGAUGAAAAGAACUUUGAAAAGAGAGUUAAACAGUACGUGAAAUUGUCAAAAGGGAAGCGUUUGACACCAGUGUUGUUUUUCCGAAAAUCAAUUAAGAAUGUUUUAUUUUUGAGGAGUUAUGACUUCAUCGGCUUGCUCCUUUCUUUAUGGAACUUUCUUAAUGCACUUUUCGGUUAACAAGUCAACAUCAAUUUCUUUUGUUGUAAAAGAGUAUGAGGAAGGUGGCUUUCUUUUCGGAGAAAGUGUUUAUAGCCUUGUACUUCUGCAAUCGGAGAGAUUGAGGUCUGCAGCGUAGAUCCUUUCGGGGUUAGAUACACUUGUGCUAAGUUAUAGCUUUUCAUAGACAACUUGUUGAUUAUGAUUAGUCUUGUAGCUUACUCGCUUGUGCUAUUUUACCUACGCUUAGGAUGUUGAGUAGCGACAUACGCAC
rnacentral:rRNA from 1 species